rnacentral:rRNA from 1 species
AUUGAACGCUGGCGGCGUGCCUAAUACAUGCAAGUCGAACGCAGUGGGGACGGGUGAGUAACACGUGGGUAACCUCCCAUCAGAGGGGAUAACACUUGGAAACAGGUGCUAAACCGAUACUGAUGGAUGGACCCGCGGUGCAUUAGCGAGUUGGUGAGGUAACGGCUCACCAAGGCCACGAUGCAUAGCCUACCGGUGAGGUGGAUCUGCCAAACUGGGACUGAGACAGGGCCCAGACUCGUACGGGAGGCAGCAGUAGGGAAUCUUCGGCAAUGGACGAAAGUCUGACCGAGCAACGCCGCGUGAGGGAAGAAGGUUUUCGGAGCGUAAAGCUCUGUUGUUAGAGAAGCGGUAACUAACCAGAAAGGGACGGCUAACUACGUGCCAGCAGCCGCGGUAAUAC